AGUGGAAUUGCUGGGUCAUAAGGUAAUUCUAUGUUUAACUUUUUGAGGAACUGCCAAAUUGUUUUCCAAAAUGGCAGCACCUUUUUACAUUCCCACCAGCAGU
rnacentral:pre_miRNA from 1 species